GUCGUCGCGAGGCGGGUCUGAAAGAAGCGUGGAACAAAGCCACGACCUGACGAACAGAAACCAGAUAUGAGGCCUACCCGGCCGGACGAGCGAGCAACUGAUUGCGAAGUCCAUAACCAUCAAGGGUCGGGGUGGUAAAUCUGGCAGGUGUGUGGCGAAGCGGUUGAGCUU
rnacentral:ncRNA from 1 species